CCUGGCUCAGAUUGAACGCUGGCGGCAUGCUUUACACAUGCAAGUCGAACGGCAGCACGGGUGCUUGCACCUGGUGGCGAGUGGCGGACGGGUGAGUAAUACAUCGGAACGUAUCCUAAAGUGGGGGAUAACGCAUCGAAAGAUGUGCUAAUACCGCAUACACUCUGAGGAGGAAAGUAGGGGAUCGAAAGACCUUAUGCUUUUGGAGCGGCCGAUGUCUGAUUAGCUAGUUGGUAAGGUAAUGGCUUACCAAGGCAACGAUCAGUAGUUGGUCUGAGAGGACGACCAGCCACACUGGGACUGAGACACGGCCCAGACUCCUACGGGAGGCAGCAGUGGGGAAUUUUGGACAAUGGGCGCAAGCCUGAUCCAGCAAUGCCGCGUGAGUGAAGAAGGCCUUCGGGUUGUAAAGCUCUUUCAGUUGAGAAGAAAAGAUUGUGACUAAUAAUUGCAAUUC
rnacentral:rRNA from 1 species